GACUUACUCCCUCCGUCCGAAAAAGUUUGUCCCUCAAAUUGAUGUAUCUAGCACUAAGUUAGUGCUAGAUACAUCCAUUUAAGGAACAAGCUUUGGACAAGCUUUUUCGGACGGAGGGAGUAUCUU
rfam:Triticum aestivum genome assembly, contig: Triticum_aestivum_CS42_TGACv1_scaffold_129653_2BL